CUGCAUCUUUUGACACACCUGAAGCAAAUCAAGUGUUCUUGGGUUUUGAAUAAUGAUGCAAGAUCAAUUUCCUCGCGCUUUCUGUGUGCUUUGUAUUAUAGCAGCUCGGAUUGAAUAGGGGAGUACAUUU